AGCAAACGCUGGCGGCGUGCCUAAUACAUGCAAGUCGAACGGGGAAGUUCCUUCGGGAAUUGUACUAGUGGCGCACGGGUGAGUAACACGUGGAUAAUCUACCAUUCAGUGGGGAAUAACCAGCCGAAAGGUUGGCUAAUACCGCAUAAGACCACAUUGUCUCCGGACAAAGGGGUUAAAGGAGUAAUUCGCUGAUUGAUGAGUUCGCGCGGGAUUAGCUAGUUGGUGAGGUAACGGCUCACCAAGGCUACGAUCUCUAGCUGGUCUGAGAGGAUGAGCAGCCACACUGGAACUGAGACACGGUCCAGACUCCUACGGGAGGCAGCAGUAGGGAAUAUUGCACAAUGGGGGAAACCCUGAUGCAGCGACGCCGCGUGAGUGAUGAAGGCCUUCGGGUUGUAAAGCUCUGUUGUACGGGAAAAAGAAAGUGAUUGUACCGUAUAAGAAAGGACCGGCUAACUUCGUGCCAGCAGCCGCGGUAA
rnacentral:rRNA from 1 species